GACGAACGCUGGCGGCGCGCCUAACACAUGCAAGUCGAACGAGCGAGCGAGAGCUUUCUUUCUCGAGCGAGUGGCGAACGGGUGAGUAACGCGUGAGGAACCUGCCUCAAAGAGGGGGACAACAGUUGGAAACGACUGCUAAUACCGCAUAAGCCCACGACCCGGCAUGGGGGAGAGGGAAAAGGAGCAAUCCGCUUUGGGAUGGCCUCGCGUCCGAUUAGCUGGUUGGUGAGGUAACGGCCCACCAAGGCGACGAUCGGUAGCCGGACUGGGAGGUUGACCCACAGCAUUGGGACUGAGACCCGGCCCAGAAUGCGACGGAUGGCAGCAGGUGGGAAUAUUGCACAAGGGGGGAAACCCUGAUGCAGCGGCGCCGCGUAGAGGAAGAAGGUCUUCGGAUUGUGAACUCCUGUUGUAGAGGAAGAUAAUGACGGUACUCAACAAGGAAGUGACGGCUAACUACGUG
rnacentral:rRNA from 1 species